rnacentral:rRNA from 1 species
UAAGCAGAACUGGCGAUGAGGGAUGAACCUAACGUUGAGAUAAGGUGCCCAAAUUCACGCUCAUGAGACACCAGAAAAGGUGUUGGUUAGUAUAAACAGCCGGACUGUGGCCAUGGAAGUCGGCAGCAGCUAAGGAGUGUGUAACAACUCACCAGCCGAAUUAACCAGCCCUGAAAAUUGAUGGCGCUAAGCGUGAUACCGAUACUCAACCAUUAAGGCAAAUAGAAGCUUUAAUGAGUAAGAGGGCGUGAAUACUGUGUAGAAGGCUUGGAUGUGAAUCUGGCUGGAACAGUAUUUAGUGCAGAUCUUGGUGGUAGUAGCAAAUAUUCAAAUGAGAACUUUGAAGACCGAAGUGGAGAAGGGUUCCAUGAGAACAGCAUUUGUUCAUGGGUUACUCGAUCCUAAGACAUAGGGAAAUUCCUUGUAAUACAUGCGAUCUUACGACCGCAUUGUCAAAAGGGAAUGAGGUUGAUAUUCCUCAAGCUGGCAGUGGUGGCAACGUGGCAACACAAACAAGCCCGGAGACGCCGGUAUGUGCAACUGGAAGAGUUCUCUUUUCUUCUUAACAGCCUAUCUCCCUGAAUGGAUUAUCCAAAGCAAGGGAUAUACGGUUGGCAGAGCAGUUCACCAUCGAAUUGUCAGUGAUGCUCAUAACGGCCCUUGAAAAUCUGAGUAAGGUAUCCAAACACGCCAGAUCGUACCCAUAACCGCAUCAGGUCUCCAAGGUUAGCAGCCUCUGGUCGAUAGAAUAAUGUAGAUAAGGGAAUUCGGCAAAUUAGAUCCGUAACUUCGGGAAAAGGAUUGGCUCUGAGGAUUGGGUUAUAGUGGCUGCCAUUGAGAGGGGAACUAUGAAGGAGCUGGGCGAUCGGAUCUGAAUUGGUGAACCAGGAUUUGUCAGUUUGCUUACGCCAGCAACAAUCGACUCAGAACUGAAGCGGACAAGGGGAAUCCGACUGUUUAAUAAAAACAUAGCUUUGUGAUGGAGUGAAAACUUGUUGACACAAAGUGGUUUCUGCCCAGUGCUUUGAAUGUGAAUAUGAAGUAAUUUGUAGAAGCUCAGGUAAACGGCGGGAGUAACUAUGACUCUCUUAAGGUAGCCAAAUGCCUCGUCAUCUAAUUAGUGACGCGCAUGAAUGGAUUAAUGAGAUUCCCACUGUCCCUAUCUACCAUCUAGCGAACCCACAGCCAAGGGAACGGGCUUGGAAUAAUCAGCGGGGAAAGAAGACCCUGUUGAGCUUGACUCUAGUCCGACUUUGUGAAAUGACUUUCGAGAUAUAGCCUAGGUGGGAGCGAAAGCGCCGCUGUA